AGACGGUAGAGAUUCCGUCACCACCAAAAGAGUUAAACACAGGGACACAUAUGAAGUCUCGGAGCCGGGUGUUGGUUCCGGUAGCGAUCGAGGGAAGUUAGUACCGAAGUCCGGGAUGGAAGAUGGCGAGAAAAGCUGUGUGAAUUUCUGCGGUGCCCGUACCGCAAACCGACACAGGUAGGUAGGAAGAAGAUUCUAAGGCCAACGGGAGAAGGGUUGUUAAGGAACUCGGCAAAUUGACCCCGUAACUUCGGGAGAAGGGGUGCUGCAGCAAUGCAGCCGCAGAGAAUCGGCCCGAGCAACUGUUUACCAAAAACACAGGUUUGUGCUAAAUCGAAAGAUGACGUAUACGAGCUGACGCCUGCCCGGUGCUGGAAGGUUAAGAGGAGAUGUGCAAGCAUUGAAUCGAAGCCCCAGUGAACGGCGGCCGUAACGAUAACGGUCCUAAGGUAGCGAAAUUCCUUGUCAGGUAAGUUCUGACCCGCAUGAAAGGCGUAAUGAUUUGGGCACUGUCUCAACAGCCCGCCCGGCGAAAUUGUAGUACCGGUGAAGAUGCCGGUUACCCGCGACAAGACGGAAAGACCCCAUGGAGCUUUACUGUAGCCUAAUAUUGGGUUUCGAUGUUGCAUGCACAGGAUAGAUGGGACACAGGGAAGCAGGUGCUUUGGCGCUUGUGGAGUGGCCGUUGGGAUACCAUCCUUGCGAUAUUGGAAUUCUAACCUGCGCCUUUGAAUCAAGGCGGGGGACAUUGUUAGGUGGGCAGUUUGACUGGGGCGGUCGCCUCCUAAAGAGUAACGGAGGCGUUCAAAGGUUCGCUCAGCUUGAACGGAAAUCAAGCAAAAGAGUGCAAACGCAGAAGCGAGCCUAACUGCGAGACUGACGGGUCGAGCAGUUACGAAAGUUGGAGUUAGUGAUCCGGUGGUAUGUGAGUGGAAAUGCCAUCGCUCAACGGAUAAAAGUUACCCUGGGGAUAACAGGCUGAUCUCCCCCAAGAGUCCACAUGACGGGGAGGUUUGGCACCUCGAUGUCGGCUCAUCGCAUCCUGGGGCUGUAUUCGGUCCCAAGGGUUUGGCUGUUCGCCAAUUAAAGCGGUACGCGAGCUGGGUUCAGAAUGUCGUGAGACAGUUCGGUCCCUAUCUGUCGUGGGCGCAGGAUAUUUGAUGGGAGCUGUUCCUAGUACGAGAGGACCGGAGCGGACGUACCUCUGGCGCACCAGUUGUUCUGCCAAGAGCAUAGCUGGGCAACUAUGUACGGAUCGGAUAAACGCUGAAAGCAUCUAAGCGUGAAGCCGACCCAAAGAUAAGAUAUCCCAUGGUUUCAAACAAGUAAGACCCCUUGAAGACUACAAGGUUGAUAGGCACGAUGUGUAAGUGGAGCGAUCCAUUCAGCAAGCGUGUACUAAUAGGUCGAGGGCUUGACUG
rnacentral:rRNA from 1 species